GUGCUCACUUCAGCAGCACAGAUACUAAAACUGGAACGACACAGGGAAGACUAGCAUGGCCCCUGCUCAAGGACGACAUUCCAUUUUUUUUUUUU
rnacentral:snRNA from 1 species